rnacentral:rRNA from 1 species
UACGUAGGGAGCAAGCGUUGUUCGGAUUUACUGGGCGUAAAGGGCGCGUAGGCGGCAACUCAAGUCAUCUGUGAAAUCUCCGGGCUUAACUCGGAACGGUCAGAUGAUACUGUUUUGCUAGAGUGCAGAAGGGGCAAUCGGAAUUCUUGGUGUAGCGGUGAAAUGCGUAGAUAUCAAGAGGAACACCUGAGGUGAAGGCGGGUUGCUGGGCUGACACUGACGCUGAGGCGCGAAAGCCAGGGGAGCAAACGGG